UUUGGUAAACUUCUUUUUAGUGUUUGGUUAACUUCGUUUUAGUGUUUGGUUAACUUCUUUCUAGUGUUUGGUAAACUUCUUUCUAGUGUUUGGUAAACUUCUUUUGUGUUUGAUAAACUUCCUUUUAGUGUUUUGUAAACUUCUUUUUAGUAUUUGGCAAACUUCUUUUUAGUGUUUGGUAAACUUCGUUUUAGUGUUUGGUUAACUUCUUUCUAGUGUUUUGUAAACUUCUUUUUCGUGUAGGGUAAACUUCUUUUUAGUGUUUUGUAAAUGUUUUCUUAGUGUUUUGUAAAGUUCUCUUUAGUGUUUGGUAAAUUUCUUUUUCGUGUUUGGUAAACUUCUUUUUAGUGUUUGGUAAACUUUUUAGUGUUUGGUAAACUUUUUAGUGUUUGGUAAACUUCUUUUUAGUGUUUGGUAAACUUCUUUCUAGUGUUUGGUAAACUUCUUUUUCGUAUUUUGUAAACUUCUUUUGUGUUUGGUAAACUUCUUUUUAGUGUUUGGUAAACUUCUUUUUAGUGUUUGGUAAACUUUUUAGUGUUUGGUAAACUUUUUAGUGUUUGGUAAACUUCUUUUUAGUGUUUGGUAAACUUCUUUUUAGUAUUUGGUAAACUUCUUUUUAGUGUUUGGUUAACUUCGUUUUAGUGUUUGGUUAACUUCUUUCUAGUGUUUGGUAAACUUCUUUCUAGUGUUUGGUAAACUUCUUUUGUGUUUGAUAAACUUCCUUUUAGUGUUUUGUAAACUUCUUUUUAGUAUUUGGCAAACUUCUUUUUAGUGUUUGGUAAACUUCGUUUUAGUGUUUGGUUAACUUCUUUCUAGUGUUUGGUAAACUUCUUUCUAGUGUUUGGUAAACUUCUUUUGUGUUUGGUAAACUUCUUUUUAGUGUUUGGUAAACUUCGUUUUAGUGCUUGGUUAACUUCUUUCUAGUGUUUGGUAAACUUCUUUCUAGUGUUUGGUAAACUUCUUUUGUGUUUGGUAAACUUCUUUUUAGUGUUUGGUAAACUUCUUUCUAGUGUUUGGUAAACUUCUUUUGUGUUUGGUAAACUUCUUUUUAGUGUUUGGUAAACUUCUUUCUAGUGUUUGGUAAACUUCUUUCUAGUGUUUGGUAGACUUCUUUCUAGUGUUUAGUAGACUUCUUUUUAGUGUUUGGUAAAUUUCUUUCUAGUGUUUGGUAAAUCUUUCUAGUGUUUGGUAAACUUCUUUCUAGUGUUUGGGAAACUUCUUUCUAGUGUUUGGUAGACUUCUUUGUAGUGUUUGGUAAACUUCUUUCUAGUGUUUGGUAAAAUUUUUAAUGUUUGGUAAACUUCUUUUUAGUGUUUGGUAAACUUCUUUUUAGUGUUUGGUAAAUGUUAGUGUUUAGUAAACUUCUUUUUAGUGUUUGGUAAACUUCUUUUUCGUGUUUUGUAAACUUCUUUCUAGUGUUUGGU
rnacentral:lncRNA from 1 species